rnacentral:rRNA from 1 species
AAUGAACGCUGGCGGCGUGCCUAACACAUGCAAGUCGAGCGAGAAAGUCCCCUUCGGGGGGCGAGUAAAGCGGCGCACGGGUGAGUAACGCGUGGGUAACCUGCCCUUGAGUGGGGGAUAACCAGCCGAAAGGCUGACUAAUCCCGCAUACGACCGGCAGACACAAGUCUGUCGGGGAAAGAUGGCCUCUGCUUGCAAGCUAUCGCUCUUGGAUGGGCCCGCGUUGGAUUAGCUAGUUGGUGGGUAACGGCCUACCAAGGCUGCGAUCCAUAGCUGGUUUGAGAGGACGACCAGCCACACUGGAACUGAGACACGGUCCAGACUCCUACGGGAGGCAGCAGUGAGGAAUAUUGCGCAAUGGGGGAAACCCUGACGCAGCGACGCCGUGUGAGCGAUGAAGGCCUCGGUCGUAAGGCUACUGUCAGAGGGAAAGGAAAAGGGUACGGGACGGGAAGUAAAGUAACCCGACCCGAACCAACUGUACGGGUAACCCUUCCGGACGGAAACGGACGAACCCGGACCGUAACCGUACCCGUUACG